rnacentral:misc_RNA from 1 species
UACAGAGGUGGCAAGCGUUGUUCGGAAUUAUUGGGCGUAAAGCGUUCGUAGGCGGCCCGGAAAGCCAGAUGUGAAAUCCCACAGCUUAACUGUGGAACUGCAUUUGGAACUUUCGGGCUCGAGGGCGAGAGGGGUAGAAGGAAUUCCAGGUGUAAGGGUGAAAUCUGCAGAGAUCUGGAAGAACACCGGUCGCGAAGGCGUUCUACUGGCUCGCUUCUGACGCUGAGGGACGAAAGCUAGGGUAGCAAACGGG